UAAUUUUUACCCAUUGGAACCUGCAACGUCCAACCUAUCUUUUUUUUUUCUUUUUUGUGAUGGACACAGGUCACUAACAAUUUUCUCAUUUAGAAAAACAUAAAAAAAAGGUGGCACCAGGUGCGGUAAUGCCACCUUUUUACUGUGACUAGUGGGCGAUGCUGUGGAGCACUGGCCUUCUACGUCAGGCAUUGUCAUGCUCUGUCAAGACCACUUACCUUGCUCAGUCUUAAUCAAAGAAAACAUUUGCUGCUUUUUCUACCUUUUUAUUCUACAUUCCUGUUAAAAAAAAUAAUAAAAUCCAGUUAAAUUAUGACCUUUGCAGUAUUGAUAUCAAGAGUGACUGACUUAAAAUCUAAAUAUUCCAUGUCUGUGUAGGAUCUGAAGCCGUGCUGUUCAUGUUGGACACUUGUUAGUUACAGCAUUACUAUGUUAUGUGUGAUGUCCAACUAGACUGGCAUUUUGUGGAGAGGGUUAACGUAUAAGCAUAUCUUACAAAUCAUUGCCACUGAUAUGUGAAUAAUUAAAUGAAAAUGAAAACCAUUCUUAUCCAUAGUCUUCAAUUGUAUCAGUUGUAGAUGAACUGUUGGCCCUCACUUGUUUCUGUGCACUACCUUGUCAUAAAGGGUACUUGCUUUUUUAGUUUUUGUAAAUUACGGUCGUCCCUUCCAUUUUAUUAUUUUUUUGUAUGUUGUGUGAG